AUGAAUAAAGCCAGCACAGAAAAUCAGCAGGCAUGGGCUAUAAAUAUUAACUUUGUUCCUCAUUUUGUUCUCCCAUGCUGUUCCCAUGGAGACAUAGCUCCUCCAUGUAUCUGGAAUUCAGGCUGCCCAAGGGACGUGACCGAGAGCUGCGAGAGAGGCCCAGUGGAGAGACAAGCGCUGUGUAAAGCCUCCAAGCCCUGUGCCAGCGGACUCCUUCCUCUUCCUUCUCACUCUCUUUUUCCCUUUCCCAUUUUCAUUAGAACUGGACCAUCAGCUGGAUUUUGUAAUGAGAUAUACACUCAAAAAACUACUUCUCCAUUUGCAAACAUUUUCAAGCAAAACAACUCGGAGAAGAAGUCAGAGAAGCUGUCAGCACACGUGAGCCUGCUAGGAACCACAUCAAUGGUGGCAGCAUUAGCUGAGUUCAAGAAUUUGGGGCCAUCUGCCAGCUUCCUCCCGGAACAGCAAUCAGUCUCCUUCAAGCUCAGCAAACCUGAGAUUGCGCCACAGCACUCCAGCCUGGGUGACAGAGCGAGACUCUGUCUCAAAAAAAAAAAAAAAAAAAAAAAAAAAAAAUGGUGUUUACUGUAGAUUUUUGUAAAUAGCCUUUAUCAGAUAAAGGAAAUUAUUUUCUAGUACCAGUCUCCUAAGAGUUUCUAUGAUGAAUUGAUGGUGUAUUAUUCUAAGAGCCUGGAAGACACAGGCCUUGAACUCAUAAAGAUCUAUGAAAAUAAAACAGAGGUCUGUGUAAGUAUGUGAAAGAAGGUACCUUUUUACUUUGUCCUUAGUUGAAAAUGGAAUAGACUAUAGAUCACAAAAUAUCUAUUCUUUUUUUAGAGACAGGGUCUCACGCUGUUGCCUAGGCUGGAGUGCAGUGGUGCAAUCAUAGCUCACUGCAUCCUUAACCUCCUGGGCUGUAGCUAGGACUACCAGUGUGCACCACUGCACCCAGCUUAUCUGUAAAUGUUUUGUAGAGGUGGGGUCUUGCUAUGCUGCCCAGGUUCAAAAUACCUAUUUAAACUGAACAAGUUGAGCAAAAGAGACUCUAGGUACCAGUUAUCUGUUUUCCUAUUAUAAAAGUGACAUUAAAAAGAACAUAGUGUUUUUUAAAGCCUUCAAGCUACAAUAUCUUGAUAGGAUUUUGGUUGUUUUUGUCCUGAUACUAAUUUCUAGUAAUGAGAAUGGUUAAAGGAAAUGAGAAAGCUAACCAUAGCCAAAAUAAAUAAAUAAAUAAACAACACUACCAUGUCUCCAAAUCUCCAGAAGGUGGAGGCAGUGAGCCACUGAGAUUUCAGACCAACGGGUUUUUCUGCCUUCAAAGGCCAGUAACCAAGCUGAAUCGUGCAGAGAAGUUGGCCUAUCUAGCCAUUUUAUCCUCUUUCAAUUAUUUAAUGUGUAGCACUCCCAGGCAGAAAUAGUCCUUCCUAAAGCAGUGGAAGGGUGCUUCUUCCCUGGUUUUGAUCUCACUGGUCUACAAUGCUUGGAUAGGGCCACUCAAUCCAUGUAAAUAUAAAAAUAUCUGCCAGGCACGGUAGCUUACACCUGUAAUCCCAGCACUUUGGGAGGCUGAGGCCAGCGGAUCACGACGUCAGGAGUUUUAGACCAGCCUGGCCAACAUCGUGAAACCCCGUCUCUACUAAAAAUACAAAAAUUAGCCGGGUGUGGUGGUGCAUGCCUGUAGUCCCAGCUACUCAGGAGGCUGAGGCAGAAGAAUCACUUGAACCUGGGAGGUGGAGGUUGCAGUCAGCCAAGAUCAUGCCACUGCACUCCAACCUGGGCGACAAAGUGAGACUCCAUCUCCAAAAUAAAUAAAUAAAUAGAUAGAUAAAUAAAAAUAACUGGAAGGGCUCUUCACUUUGGACGAAUGGCAACAGGAUUCAUUUGAAACAACCUCACACCAUUGAAUGAACGAGUAAACAUGUAAAUGCACUGCUAUACAAUUGCCUCAGUCUGCUCAGGCUGCCAUUACAGAAUGCUAUGGACUGGGUGGUUUAAAUAAUAGAAAUUUAUUUUCUCACAGUUCUGGAGGCUGGGAAGGCCAAGAUCAAGGUGCCAACUGAUUCAGUUCCUGAUGAGGGCUCUCUUCCGGACUUGCAGAUUGCCCCCUUCUCACUGUGUGCUCACAUGUCAGAGAGUGAAAGAGAGCAAGCUCUCCGUGUUGUUUCUUAUAAGGAUACCAAUCCCAUCAUUAGUGUCACACCCUCAUGACCCCACCUAACCCUAAUUACCUCUCAAAGGCCCCAUCUCAAAAUACCCUCACAUCAGGGUUUGGGGUUUCAACUUAUGAAUUUGGAGAGGGGAGCAUAAGUGUUCAGUCUGUAAAACAACAUCUAACUGCAAAGAUGUAUAGUGGGUUGCUCAGGAAGGAGCUGGCAAAGCUCUUAGCUGUAAUCAAGAGAAUUGAUGUAUUUCUGGUCCUGUGGGGAUUCUUUUCUUCCCUGAUUCUCUGCUGUGCAUCUGAGCCUUUUUCUGUCUUCUGCCAUCUGUCCUGAACCUGGAGAAUUCCUUUAUCAAGUUUCUUAUCCCUUAUAACAAAAAGUUUUUAAUCUUCUGUCUACCUACUCUCAGAUAUCACUUUAAAGUAGAAUUUUAAUCACACUGUGGCUAAGUGGGUUUACUUAUUCCAGAAACUUUGCAAAAUCCAAACCACCUACUUUUCUUGUUUUUCUUGGUCAAUAACUUUUAUAGCUUUUGUUAUGGCUCGUUUUUCACUGGAUAUCGAAGUCCACAUAAUCGUAAUCCUUGGUCAUGACUCUUUUUUUUUUUUUUCCAGAUGGAGUCUCACUGUAUGGCCUAGGCUGGAGUGCAGUGACAUGAUCUCAGCUUCACUGCAACCUCUGCCUCCUAGCUUCAAGUGAUUUUCCUGCCUCAGCCUCCCAAGUAGCUAGGAUUACAGUUGUGUGCCACCACCCUCAGCUAAUUUUUGUAUUUUUAGUAGAGAUGGGGGUUUCACCAUGUUGGCCAGGCUGGUCUCGAACUCCUGGCCUCAGUUGAUCUGCUUGCCUCGGCCUCCCAAAGUGCUGGAAUUGCAGGUGUGAGCCACUGCACCCGGCCAACUCACUUUUAUCAUUGGCUUAUGAAUGCCCAUUUCUUCCCCUCUCUCUCUCCUCAUCUUUGUAUUAUUAUUAUAUAAUAAGCAACCAUGAAUCCAUCUCUCAUUAUAAACACUAAGAGUUUGA
rnacentral:lncRNA from 10 species